rnacentral:misc_RNA from 1 species
UUUUUUUUUUUUUUUUUUUAAGUGAACUGAGUGGACUAGACCAGUAAUCACAUUAUCCACCCAUUGUUUUCUAGACAUUCCACAUUUGUUCCAUGCAAUAAUACAGCAAGUUAUUCAGUUUUAUUGAAAAAAAAAAAUAGAGCCAUUUUUUCAGGAUUACUAUUGUUCAGAAGCAGCAUAUAUUUUAUAAUGAAUUUUAUCAAUCGUGGUGGUUAUUCCACUGCAUUAGUUGGUGUUUGGUUCAUGGAUUCUAAUUUUCUUUUGGAAUCACUUUAUGAGGAAUGUAAUGUCUAGGCAUAAAAUCAUUGUUUUGUUUAAUUGGGGGGCAACAAUUUGGUGGACGUAUGAUUACUACUUUUGGUUCAUCUUCUGAAUCACGUAGGUAUUCAGGGCAAGAUUAAGGUUAUACGAUAACUUCAGGUUUUCUAAAUUGCCCUUUAAUUUUUUGCUUUUUUUAUUAUUUUAAUAUGGAUUAGUGUUCUUUGUUAAAGCAGAAGUACCAUUCCCUUUUGCUUCAGUUAAAUGUGAAAUUAAGGUAUAGAUUCUUGCAAUAAUAUGAACUUCACUAUAUAUACAUUUGUCAAAACUUCAUGAUCAAUUUAAGGGGGGAAAAACAUUUAUGUGCAUUUUGUCAAUUGUCUAGCAAGCAACAAAGCAAAAGAAAAAGAAGGAAAGAAAGAAAGGAAUUAAAAAAAAAAAACGGCAGCAAUAUUGUAUACAUAGUUGCGAUAAAUUGAGAUAGCACUUACUAAUAUGAUAAAACUAUAAACAAAAAUCAGUGCAUAUUGUCUGUCAACUAAUCAAAGAUAUCUAAAUGCUGCCUAGGAUAACAUCUACCUAAUAUGGUAGGCAUAAAAGUAGAAGAAAGUAUAUUUAUUGCGUUAAAAUGGUCAUAAGAGAAAUUAGGGAGAAAAAGGACUACGACAAUAUAUGGCUUAUAAUUCUUGUUGCAGGUAUUUGUGAACCAGAAAAAAUAAAAAAUAAAAAAAAAGAAAAAAGAUUUUGGGGCAUAAUUAUCCAACAUAUUGUCUAAUAUUCCAAGCAGAGAAUGUGAGAUUCCUCUGUAAAUGGGAUUCUUAGAAUGUGAGAGUGUGGGUAAUCAUAGAUUUCCUGAGUAAACCCAACACAGAUUACUCAGAUUCCCAUUGCGGUUUCUUGACCUCCCAUCAACCAAAUGCUACCUUAAUGAAAGAAAUCCACUAAUAGUGUGAUUGCUCACACUGUUGGCCUUGUUGCUAAAGCAUGUUAAUGUGCAGCCUAAAGCAGUCCCAUUUAUGGGAGAAACUUUAGAUCAACUCAUUGUUUGGCUAUGUAUGUAAGGGAAGCUGGUAAGUUGGAUGAUUGUUUCGAUUAAAUUAUGGACUUGCCUACAGACAUUUUGUAUUAACAUAAGAACUUUACGGUUUAUUGACUUUGUCUUGCCUGACCUGUACAAGGCUCAUCAUUGUGAGUAUGACUCAAUCAUAUUGUUAUAACUGCUAAUUGUUGCCAUUAGUCAUGCGAGAUGGUGAUUGUUUGGCUUUGCACUGUGAUUUGGUAUUAGAAAAAAGAUAAAAUUAUGUGCAAUUAGCAGCAGGAAUUGCUAUUACCAAAUUUGAAAUAAAAAUGGCACACACCUGUGACAAUAAUUUAUCUUUGGCAGUAAAGUUGGCGAAGUUGGCAGUUGAUAAAGUUUUGACAGCUCCAUGCGGGACAUCAGUCUUGUACCCAAAAAGUGGGGGGAAUCUUCAUUGCUUUACUGCAGUCACCCCUUGUGCUGUGCUCGACAUUCUCACGCCCUCUUACAGUGAAGAUGCAGGGAGGAAAUGUACUUACUACCAUGAUUACCCUUAUUCCCCCUUCUGUACAGGAAAUGGAGCUGAAAUAAGUGAUAGUAAAGAAGAGGACUAUGCAUGGCUUGCAGAGAUAUCAACACCAGACAAUCUUUAUAUGCAUCAAGGUAUAUACAGGCCCAGCUGUUAAUGUGUAGCUCUUAUUAUCAGUAGAAUCUGUGCAUAUACUCACGUUUGGUUCAAGCUUCACAGACUUGUGAAUGUAAUAGCUUGCUAUCAACCACAAAUCUGUUACUUUCUAUACUUAGCACAGAAUUUUGCACAUGAAAUUGUAUUCAUUACAUCAUCAAGUCUCCAAUAUGUUUUAUUCUUUAACUUGUACAGGUUUACUUUUUCAAUGGAUUUUCUAUUUUCCUUUACGGAUAAUGAUGUAGCAAUCAAAAUUUACCUUAUUGUAACUUUUUUCAGAUUAUC